GGUGGGAUGCCCGAGCGGCCAAAGGGAGCACGCUGUAAACGUGCCGGCUCAGCCUACGAAGGUUCGAAUCCUUCUCCCACCA
rnacentral:tRNA from 1 species